rnacentral:rRNA from 1 species
AUUGAACGCUGGCGGCAGGCCUAACACAUGCAAGUCGAGCGGAUGAAGGGAGCUUGCUCCUGGAUUCAGCGGCGGACGGGUGAGUAAUGCCUAGGAAUCUGCCUGGAAGUGGGGGAUAACGUCCGGAAACGGGCGCUAAUACCGCAUACGUCCUGAGGGAGAAAGCGGGGGAUCUUCGGACCUCACGCUAUCAGAUGAGCCUAGGUCGGAUUAGCUAGUUGGUGGGGUAAAGGCCUACCAAGGCGACGAUCCGUAACUGGUCUGAGAGGAUGAUCAGUCACACUGGAACUGAGACACGGUCCAGACUCCUACGGGAGGCAGCAGUGGGGAAUAUUGGACAAUGGGCGAAAGCCUGAUCCAGCCAUGCCGCGUGUGUGAAGAAGGUCUUCGGAUUGUAAAGCACUUUAAGUUGGGAGGAAGGGCAGUAAGUUAAUACCUUGCUGUUUUGACGUUACCAACAGAAUAAGCACCGGCUAACUUCGUG